GGGUCCAGUGUAAUCCCCUGAACGGACCCCGAUACGUGUUGCCGCAGGAUCCGGAGAUACCAUUAGAGUGAAGGAUUCCCAAGUACCCUUACCCUCCAUGAUACAUAUGUACAAUGUACUCAGAGGAUUUCUGUGUACCUCGUAGUAUCAUAAAAGGGUUGCCAUGCCCUACCCUUCAUGUCGUCAAGCAUGAGUUUUAGUGUUCGUUCAGUGAACUCCCACCUUCACGGUUAGCUAUCAUACCCUGCCAUUAUUGCCCA
rnacentral:lncRNA from 1 species